UACAGAGGUCUCAAGCGUUGUUCGGAUUCAUUGGGCGUAAAGGGUGUGUAGGUGGCGCGCUAAGUCGGGUGUGAAAUUUCGGAGCUUAACUCCGAAACUGCAUUCGAUACUGGUGUGCUUGAGGACUGGAGAGGAGACUGGAAUUCAUGGUGUAGCAGUGAAAUGCGUAGAGAUCAUGAGGAAGACCAGUGGCGAAGGCGGGUCUCUGGACAGUUCCUGACACUGAGACACGAAGGCCAGGGGAGCAAACGGG
rnacentral:rRNA from 1 species